rnacentral:rRNA from 1 species
GACGAACGCUGGCGGCGUGGAUUAGGCAUGCAAGUCGGACGGUAGGGCUUUAUCGUAAGAUAGAGUUUGAGAGUGGCGAAUGGGUGAGUAACACGUAGGAAUCUACCCUUAAGACGGGGACAACCCAGGGAAACUUGGGCUAAUACCGGAUGAGAGUGCGAGAGAUUGCAUUUAAAAGGAUGGCGAAAGUUAUCGCUUAGGGAUGAGCCUGCGGUCUAUUAGUUAGUUGGUGGGGUAAGAGCUCACCAAGGCGAUGAUAGAUAGGCGGCCUUAACGGGUGGUCGCCCACACUGGGAUUGAGAUACGGCCCAGACUCCUACGGGAGGCAGCAGUCGAGAAUAGUCUACAAUGGCCGGAAGGCUGAUAGUGCGACGCCGCGUGAACGAGGGAGCCCUUCGGGGUGUAAAGUUCUUUUCUAUACGAGCAGUGCUAUAUAUAGUGGAAUAGUAUAUAUAGGAGGUAUAGUAGUAGUAAGGUAAUAAGACAACGGACUAACCGUCCGUCGCCAGCACGCCC